AGCGAGGCUUUAUGACGUCACUAAAUCUGAGGGUGUGUUGAGACUUGUGUAGACCAGCAAGCGGAGUUGAGGGCUGCGGUUUUGAGUGGGAGUCGCCCACGGUCACAGAGUGUGAGGAGUAGAGCAGGGUGCUGGCGGUGGGGGAGCUCCCUCUGCAAAGGGAGUAGAGGUGAGGAAGGUGAAGUCAGAGAGAGAAAAGCUCUACCCAGAGGCCAAGAUCCAGUUCACGUUUCCUGUCUCCAGCCUCAGCUGAAUCCAGCAGCAAGCUCUGCCCCUUUGAGAGGGAGGACUGUCCAGUCCCAGGGCCAGUUUCACAGCUCAUCAGCUAAUCCGGAUUCCAGACUCCAGAGUGGACCUUGACUCCAGGAAUACAGGCUUGACGGAUGGCAAGGAAACCACAGUAUAAUCUGAGAUGGUGUAAGAUAAAUGAUGCUGUGUGUCAACUUUGUACAUGGCGUUGUCUGGGCUACCCGUGCAGAGAGAAUCACACAAGAGGGGAGUGUGGUCUGUAUCAUGGCACCAUGGUUAUUUGGUGCACCUCUUCUGUCACUGAAAUCUACAGCCUAACUGCUAAGGUUUCAGUGUCAUUUGUUCCCUAAUGGUCCAUGUGUUGGAAGCUUGCAUGUCUGUAACGUGACAGCAAGGAGUGGUGGAACCUUAAGAGGUGGAGGCCUCGCAGAAGGUGCAGGUUAAGGCUCCUGCCUCCAAGCCUCAAGACCUGAGUUCGAUCCCUGGGAUCUACAUUGUGGAAGCACAGCAGUGACUCCCACGGUUUGCCUCUGACCUCAUAUGCAUGCUG